GGCUAAUCGUCCACAUAAAUGUGUGGAUUAACCUCUUCAAAGAUCCCUGGAAGUGGUCUGAUGGGAGCAACUUAUCAUUCUGCGACUGCAUGGGAACACCUUCAGCCUAACUAUCAUGAAGCAAGGAAAUCGAUUCCAGCCACCAAUUGAACAAGUCUACAAGGCCUACAAAGAAGUCUCUUACAAAAGAUCAAUUACGAACAAAUGUGCCUCUCCUAAGCACUUCAUCUAAGGUCCUAGUAGCAUUUCAUUUAACUGUGGUUGCUUCUAUCAAUCAACCAAACGCUACUAAUGUUAUCAACAAUUAAGCAACAACUGCCGGUGAACUGACAUCACCAAAUACCAAAGAUCUUGCAAGUACCUCAAGCACUGACAACUGCGCAAACAACACCACGUGUGUAGUUUUGUGGGCUGAAGUCCCACAAAACUACACACUCCUCAGCUCACUGAAAACAGUCACCUCCAGGAAGCCUGAUAAACCAGGAAAACAUGACAUGGAUUGAAGCCAUGAGUUACUGCAUGGAGCAACAAAGACAUUUAGGAGAAGGUGGCUGAAAAGGCAAAUAACACCACAUCACCCCAUGUUUGGCUAGGCCUGCGCUACACUUAUAACCUUGACAUUAGGUUCUGGACCAGUUCAACUCCUGGCUGUUACUGGAACUGGGCACCAGGACAAGGAUCUGAAAGGAAAUAUGACUGCAGUGUGACAGGUGCCAUUGAGGCCACUGGAGGGCAGCAGUGUGUAGAUUUGCCUGAGACAGAAAAACUGAAUUGUAUCUGCCAUGUAUGUGUUGGAUGAGUGCAGGCCAGUGACACUUCAGAUGACAAAAAUGUUGCAGUUUUCAUAAAUGCUGUAUGGACAAAUAACAAAUUUGUGUUGGUUAUACAAGUUUGCUGUUUCAUAAUAUGUUUGGUGUUAUCACUUCAAGUUUUUGUCAAUUAUAACAUCAAGCUAGUGGACUUCGAUGGAGUUCAACAGAGACAUCAUGGUUAUUUUAAUGCUCAUUUGUGAUGUCAUAUUUCCACCCUUGUUGAAAUACAGCUGCCUUCCUUCCUGCCAAUCUCUAUUGUUGAGAUUGAAUUUCAUUAAAUAUGGAGACCUCAUGUGACGUGUGGGCGUGCACAUUCACAGUCAUGGGCAGCACGAGUAAUAUGAGAACAUUGAUAUGCUCUAUUCCUUUCACUCAGGGGUUACUAUUUGCAUGUUGACCCCUGGGCUGGGCCCCAAAAAACUGUCUUAUUUAGACCACCGGAGUAUGGCCCCCGAUCCAGACAGGCUGCUGCCCUCACUGACCUGACCUUCACUAGCAGCAACGCGGAAGACAUAGCUCACAGAAGCUCACCUACCUGUCUGCACCCUUGAGGUACACGGAGCAUCUAUAACCAUGGGAACUGGAAAUUAUACAACAUAUUCAUUGAUAAAAACUGUAUUUCAUACAGUGACAUAAAUGCAGACAGGUUGUUCCUUCUGAAGAAACAC